AAAAACAUGUCAAAGUUUGGUGUUAUUUAAACAUUCACUUGUUUGAGCAACAGUCAAGUUUACGAGUCGCAUGGUUGAGAAAUAUAACAUAUUAUAACAUAUUUACCGUCAGAAAAGAGGAAAAGCCAGCCGUGAGAAUGGAAUUCCUUCAUACAUGAAACUUCCCGUUACUCACUUACAUAUAAACCUUUAAACUGCUAACGGUUUUACCUGUUGACAAAACCCUUUUAUAGAAGAAGAUAAACUUUCUGAGUAGAAGUCUAAUGAGAAAAUAAAAAUAGAAAAAUUUUACGACAAACUUUUACAGUGUACCUGCAUAAUCAAGGUAACGCUUGUGAAAUGUCGGGAAAACGCGCACGUUAACCGCACCUCCGCGUAUGCACAUGAAAUACAAAAGUGGGGUCAGUUGAGGAAUUUUUUUUUUCAUUUUUGCAUUCUUUUUUAGUUUAUAACAUACAUAAACAUACAUUUAAAAUAAUUUGGCAAAAAAAACUAUGGAAGAAACAAAAGAUUCGAAGGUAACGGUGCAUAUUGAAUACUGUUCUGGAUGAGGCUACUACAGUCGAAAAAAGGAACUGGCUGCCAAAAUAAAACAGGCUAUCCCAUCAGUCCUAGUGACUGGGAGAAGAGGCAGGAGCACUUCGUUUGAAGUUACUGUAAAUGGUCAGUUGAUUUUUUCAAAAAUCGAAAUGCACGCUUUUCCCAACCAGGACAAGAUUUUAGAAGAAAUAAAGAAAGCAGCCAAUGGGGAGCCUAUGAGUACAGUGAUCGACACCAAAAAGGAACGCUGCAUUAUAUCAUAGCGUUGAAGUAUUUAUCUAAACUAAAAUUAGAUUUAGCCAGCCAUCUCUAAUGGAUAUUAGGGCGUUGUCUUUGGAUUAUGUUAUUUUUUUUAUUUUUAAUUUUUUCAAAUAUUUCUAUCUUGCAUGGUAUGUAUGAUAAAUUGUAGUGAAAUCUAUUGUAAACUAUAAUUUUAAUGAUUUCUUUGUAAAAAAAAAAAGAAAUAUUACCGAUUGUAAGAAAUACAAAUAUAAGACAGAGUA